rnacentral:rRNA from 1 species
AUGAGUCGACCUGAUGGGAUCAACAUCCCCGAUGACAAGUUCUACCUUGUAGAUGCUGGCUAUGCAUGUCGGCCGGGUAUUCUUCCACCCUUCAGGAAAACUAGGUACCAUCUCAACGAGUUCUCUGGUAGGAACUAUCCUAGGACUGCACAGGAGCUGUUUAAUCUCAAACACUCCAGCCUUAGAGUAACUGUUGAGAGGGCAUUUGGAUCUCUGAAGAAUAGGUUUAAGAUCCUGGAUCAGAAGCCAUUCCACCCAUACUCCACUCAGGUUAAGCUUGUUCUUGCUUGUUGCAUUCUGCAUAACUGGAUCCUCCAGUGA